rnacentral:rRNA from 1 species
GUGACCUGCGGAAGGAUCAUUAACGAGCAUGAAUUGCACGAUUAGAGUUGAGCUGGUUAACCUAGUUAACAAGUGCUCAUUCUAAUCGACAAAUCCACUCAUUACUUAACACCUGUGAACUUAUCUAUUAUAAACAUUAUAAUAUGUCAUUGGAACGUUUGAUUAUAAUAAGUUAAUACAACUUUCAACAACGGAUCUCUUGGCUCUCGCAUCGAUGAAGAACGCAGCGAAAUGCGAUAAGUAAUGUGAAUUGCAGAAUUCAGUGAAUCAUCGAAUCUUUGAACGCACCUUGCGCUCCCUGGUAUUCCGGGGAGCAUGCCUGUUUGAGUGUCGUGAAGUCAUCAGAGUCAUGAUCUUUAAUUAAUCAUGGCUUGGAUUUGGAGGUUAUGUUGGCUAUCAGUCGACUCCUCUUAAAAGUAUUAGCUCAGUGUUUAAUGCUUAGAGCGGUUCACGGUGUGAUAAUUAUCUACACUUCGACUAAUCUAAGUUAGCUGGCUUCUAAUGGAUCCUUUGUGAUCACUUUGUGUAUUUGACCUCAAAUCAGGUAGGACUACCCGCUGAACUUAAGCAUAUCAAUAAGCGGAGGAAAAGAAACUAACAAGGAUUCCCCUAGUAACUGCGAGUGAAGAGGGAAAAGCUCAAAUUUAAAAUCUGGCAGCU